rnacentral:snoRNA from 1 species
ACCUUCUUGUUUAAGCUCUCUACUAAAAUUCCAGAAACUAGUAUCAUGUCUUAGCAUUUGUAAUAAAGCUAUCAGAGAAAAGCCAAGAAGAAAAAAGAACUGUACCAGAUAGAAAAAUUGAGUUGAACUUUUUUUUUUUAGACGGAGUCUCACUCUGUCACCCAGGCUGGAGUGUAGUGGCGCAAUCUCA